CAAUGAGGAAGGCAGAGCUGGCUUUAUCACACCCUGCAGUUCUUUGGUUCUGAUGCUGCCACUGCUCCAGGUGACAUUAUUAUUGGUGGAUUAUUCCCAAUCCAUGAAAGCAUUGAUGGACCCAUAUACAGAGUCGGAAGUGAUGAAGGGACCUGUGGCAGGUUCCACUUACCUCGGCUGGUGCAAUCUCUGAUGAUGGUACACGCGGUGGAGGAGGUAAAUAGGAGGGGGGAGUUGGGGAACCUAACCCUGGGAUAUCGUAUAGUGGACUCCUGCUCUGAUGUUACCACUUCCCUGAGAAACACCUUGUCCUUUAUGAGAC